rnacentral:rRNA from 1 species
UGGGGAAUAUUGCACAAUGGGCGCAAGCCUGAUGCAGCCAUGCCGCGUGUGUGAAGAAGGCCUUCGGGUUGUAAAGCACUUUCAGCGGGGAGGAAGGCGAUAAGGUUAAUAACCUUGUCGAUUGACGUUACCCGCAGAAGAAGCACCGGCUAACUCCGUGCCAGCAGCCGCGGUAAUACGGAGGGUGCAAGCGUUAAUCGGAAUUACUGGGCGUAAAGCGCACGCAGGCGGUUGAUUGAGUCAGAUGUGAAAUCCCCGGGCUUAACCCGGGAAUUGCAUCUGAUACUGGUCAGCUAGAGUCUUGUAGAGGGGGGUAGAAUUCCAUGUGUAGCGGUGAAAUGCGUAGAGAUGUGGAGGAAUACCGGUGGCGAAGGCGGCCCCCUGGACAAAGACUGACGCUCAGGUGCGAAAGCGUGGGGAGCAAACAGG